rnacentral:rRNA from 1 species
UAAUACGGAGGGGGCUAGCGUUGUUCGGAUUUACUGGGCGUAAAGCGCGCGUAGGCGGAAUAUCAAGUUAGGCGUGAAAGCCCCGGGCUCAACCCGGGAACUGCGCUUAUUACUGAUAAACUAGAGUCCGGGAGAGGGUAGCGGAAUUCCCAGUGUAGAGGUGAAAUUCGUAGAUAUUGGGAAGAACACCAGUUGCGAAGGCGGCUACCUGGACCGGUACUGACGCUGAGGUGCGAAAGCGUGGGGAGCGAACAGGAUUAGAUACCCUGGUAGUCCACGCCGUAAACGAUGGGUGCUAGUUGUUGGGGCCUCAGGUCUCAGUGACGGAGCUAACGCGUUAAGCACCCCGCCUGGGGAGUACGGCCGCAAGGCUA